rnacentral:rRNA from 1 species
GACGAACGCUGGCGGCGUGCUUAACACAUGCAAGUCGAACGGUGAAGCGCCUUCCUUUUUGGUGGGUGUGGAUGAGUGGCGAACGGGUGAGUAACACGUGAGUAACCUGCCCCCUUCUUCUGGAUAACCGCAUGAAAGUGUGGCUAAUACGGGAUAUUCUGGGUCUGUCGCAUGAUGGGUCUGGGAAAGAUAUUGUUUCGGUGGGGGAUGGGCUCGCGGCCUAUCAGCUUGUUGGUGGGGUGAUGGCCUACCAAGGCGGUGACGGGUAGCCGGCCUGAGAGGGUGGACGGUCACACUGGGACUGAGACACGGCCCAGACUCCUACGGGAGGCAGCAGUGGGGAAUAGUGCACAAUGGGAGGAAGCCUGAUGCAGCGACGCCGCGUGAGGGAUGGAGGCGUUCGGGUUGUGAACCUCUUUCGCCAGUGAAGCAGGCCUGCCUCGUUUGUGGGUGGGUUGACGGUAGCUGGAUAAGAAGCGCCGGCUAACUACGUG